CCCCAUCCAUCCACCCACCCACCCCACAAGCAUUUACAGAUCACAAAACCCAAACCCAUCAAUCUAGGUCAUUUCAACUGUAUAUAUAUAUAUUUUUUGGGGGGAUCACUUGUAUCUUGAAUUAUUCAAUUUUCCUGUAAACAUUUAAUUGUGUUAUUAGUGAAGCAUUUAUUCAGUUAUUCCUGAAACCUUCCAUGACAAAAUAUAUUUUUAAAAAAGUGGGACAACUAAUUUUACCCCCAGAGGAGAGUCAUAUUUUGCAGUCAGUGAAGCAUUUGAAGCAGGCCAAUGCUGGUGUGUCCCCACGGUGGAUGGGCAUGAGAACGAUCCCCUGUGCAGAGCGGCUGCUCCUCGAAUCAGGUGCCGCCUCCUUCUCUUGCAGGAUGCUUUCCGACAUGGCUCAGUGGGACGAGGCCUACACUAAGGGGCGUUCACUUGCUUUGAUUCCCCAGGUCCUGUCCCUGGAGGAGCUCCCCACUGGGGUAGCAGUGGCAGAUGCAGUGUUCUCUCUUCACGGUUGCUCCUUGAUCUACUGUAGACGAAGAUUUGCCACAGCUUAUUGUAGCCACACAGGGCACCUGCUUGCAGGGUGGGGAGGGGCACAAACAUGGAGGAGAGGCCAGAGAGCCUAUAGAUAAAGGGGAGAUAACUGUACUGGGAACCGGUGAUUC
rnacentral:lncRNA from 1 species